rnacentral:rRNA from 1 species
AUUGAACGCUGGCGGCAGGCCUAACACAUGCAAGUCGAGCGGAUGAAGGGAGCUUGCUCCUGGAUUCAGCGGCGGACGGGUGAGUAAUGCCUAGGAAUCUGCCUGGUAGUGGGGGAUAACGUCCGGAAACGGGCGCUAAUACCGCAUACGUCCUGAGGGAGAAAGUGGGGGAUCUUCGGACCUCACGCUAUCAGAUGAGCCUAGGUCGGAUUAGCUAGUUGGUGGGGUAACGGCCUACCAAGGCGACGAUCCGUAACUGGUCUGAGAGGAUGAUCAGGCACACUGGAACAGAGACACGGUCCAGACUCCUACGGGAGGCAGCAGUGGGGAAUAUUGGACAAUGGGCGAAAGCCUGAUACAGCCAUGCCGCGUGUGUGAAGAAGGUCUUCGGAUUGUAAAGCACUUUAAGUUGGGAGGAAGGGCAGUAAGUUAAUACCUUGCUGUUUUGACGGUACCAACAGAAUAAGCACCGGCUAACUUCGUG